CNUGAGGUACUGGAAGGUCNUCAGGCCGAAAGGGGCUCUGCCCGCCCGAGGAUGGGCCGGCGGCCGAUUAGGUAGUUGGUGGGGUAACGGCCCACCAAGCCGAAGAUCGGUACGGGCCAUGAGAGUGGGAGCCCGGAGAUGGACACUGAGACACGGGUCCAGGCCCUACGGGGCGCAGCAGGCGCGAAACCUCCGCAAUGCGGGCAACCGCGACGGGGGGACCCCCAGUGCCGUGGCAACGCCACGGCUUUUCCGGAGUGUAAAAAGCUCCGGGAAUAAGGGCUGGGCAAGGCCGGUGGCAGCCGCCGCGGUAAUACCGGCGGCCCGAGUGGUGGCCGCUAUUAUUGGGCCUAAAGCGUCCGUAGCCGGGCCCGUAAGUCCCUGGCGAAAUCCCACGGCUCAACCGUGGGGCUUGCUGGGGAUACUGCGGGCCUUGGGACCGGGAGAGGCCGGGGGUACCCCUGGGGUAGGGGUGAAAUCCUAUAAUCCCAGGGGGACCGCCAGUGGCGAAGGCGCCCGGCUGGAACGGGUCCGACGGUGAGGGACGAAGGCCAGGGGAGCGAACCGGAUUAGAUACCCGGGUAGUCCUGGCUGUAAAGGAUGCGGGCUAGGUGUCGGGCGAGCUUCGAGCUCGCCCGGUGCCGAAG
rnacentral:rRNA from 1 species